rnacentral:rRNA from 1 species
AGAGUUUGAUUAUGGCUCAGAACGAACGCUUGCUGCAUGCUUUAUACAUGCAAGUCGAACGAAGGCCCUAGCUUGCUAGGUGUCCUUAGUGGCGCACGGGUGAGUAACACGUGGGAACAUACCUCAUAGUACGGAAUAACUGCGGGAAACUGUAGCUAAUACCGUAUAUUCCAGUAAUGGGAAAGAUUUAUCGCUAUGAGAUUGGCCCGCGCAAGAUUAGUUUGUUGGUAAGGUAAUGGCUUACCAAGGCUACGAUCUUUAGCUGGUUUGAGAGGAUGAUCAGCCACACUGGGACUGAGACACGGCCCAGACUCCUACGGGAGGCAGCAGUAGGGAAUAUUGGACAAUGGGGGAAACCCUGAUCCAGCAAUGCAGCGUGAGUGACGAAGGCCUUAGGGUUGUAAAACUCUUUCAUCGGUGAGGAUAAUGACAGUAACCGAAGAAGAAGGACCGGCUAAUUCCGUGCCAGCAGCCGCGGUAAUACGGAAGGUCCUAGCGUUGUUCGGAAUUACUGGGCGUAAAGCGCAUGUAGGCGGAACAAAAAGUUAGAAGUGAAAUCCCUGGGCUCAACCUAGGAAUGGCUUUUAAAACUUUUGUUCUGGAAUUCAGGAGAGGUAAGUGGAAUUUCUAGUGUAGAGGUGAAAUUCGUAGAUAUUUGGAGGAACACCAGUGGCGAAGGCGAUUUUCUGGACUGAUAUUGACGCUGAGAUGCGAAGGCAUGGGUAGCAAACGGGAUUAGAUACCCCGGUAGUCCAUGCAGUAAACGAUGGGUGCUAGUCGUCGGACUUAUGUUCGGUGUCGUAGCUAACGCGUUAAGCACUCCGCCUGGGGAGUACGGCCGCAAGGUUAAAACUCAAAUGAAUUGACGGGGACCCGCACAAGCAGUGGAGCAU